UAUAUAGGAAUCUAUGUAGUGCUUAGGAUGUCCUAGUUGCAGUAGAACAUGUGUAGGUGUUUUACUGAAUUUUACUUCUGAUUCAAGGUUUCGUGAGUGGCUGAGAUACAUGUUGAGAGAACAUGGAGGUCCCUUAUUGGAUGCUUUCAGAUCAAAAUACCCUGAAAGGGAGGGAGCUUAUACUUGCUUUAAUCAAACCGUUGGAGCUGAAGAAUUCAGUUAUGGUUCUAGAAUAGAUCACAUUCUCAUUUCAAAACGCACACACUGUCGAGAUGAGGACCCUACGGCACAGCGAGCCGCACUGGACGGUGGCGCAAUGCAUGAGGGAACUAUGCAUCCUGAAUGGCAUAGACUCUUGGCUUCAUGAAAUGACCCAUGUCUAUGAUUCAAGGUAUCUUAGAUCUUCGAUGUCGGAUGCAAAUAAUUGCUCAAUUUCACUUCUCUGCAAUGUUCAUUCUCACAUAUUUCUAUCAUUCUUUGCAGGGAUAAAGUAAAGAAUAAGAAGAAAAGAUUACUCGAAGAUUAGUUUUAGAAUUUUCUUUUAUUUCCUUGUAAUUUUUCUUUUAUUUGAUACUUGUAAAGACAUUGUAAUAUUCUUACUAUA